rnacentral:misc_RNA from 1 species
AGAGUCAAGGGCGACCCAUAUCCUAUAGAAGUUCCUGCAGCAAUCAUUACAGCCUCUGCUGCUAACUCAAGAAUAUGAGCCAGUGGCAGGUAUGCCAAAUACACAUCUUUACUGCCGAGAGCAGGGACAAUCGUCAUCACUGCAGAGACUGUUGCUAGGAUAUUACCAUGUGUCAUCAUAACACCCUUAGGCAAACCAGUACUUCCGCUUGUAUACAUUAUCACCGCAACAUCAGCUGCAACGGGUAAAUCUGCAUCAACAGGACUUUCCCGGCCAAGUUUCUCUACUUCAUCAAAUGAGGUGAUGGUCCAGCUAGUGUUCUUCUCAACUA